rnacentral:siRNA from 1 species
UGCAAGAGGAAGUUCUCCAUGC